UACAGAGGGUGCAAACGUUGCUCGGAAUCAUUGGGCGUAAAGCGCACGUAGGCGCCCAGCAAGUGGGGAGUGAAAGCCCUCGGCUUAACCGAGGAAGUGCUUUCCAACUACUGGGCUUGAAUACUGGAGAGGGUCGCGGAAGUUCUCGGUGUAGCGGUGAAAUGCGUAGAUAUCGAGAGGAACACCUGCGGCGAAGGCGGGUUGCUGGGCCGACACUGACGCUGAGGCGCGAAGCCAGGGGAGCGAACGGG
rnacentral:rRNA from 1 species